rnacentral:tRNA from 1 species
GCGCCUCUAGCUCAAUGGUAGAGCUACAGCCUUUUAAGCUGCAGGUUCCGGGUUCGAGCCCCGGGGGGCGUA